rnacentral:rRNA from 1 species
GACGAACGCUGGCGGCGUGCCUAAUACAUGCAAGUAGAACGCACAGUUUAUACCGUAGCUUGCUACACCAUAGACUGUGAGUUGCGAACGGGUGAGUAACGCGUAGGUAACCUGCCUGGUAGCGGGGGAUAACUAUUGGAAACGAUAGCUAAUACCGCAUAAUAUUGAUUAUUGCAUGAUAAUUGAUUGAAAGAUGCUAUUGCAUCACUACCAGAUGGACCUGCGUUGUAUUAGCUAGUAGGUGAGGUAACGGCUCACCUAGGCGACGAUACAUAGCCGACCUGAGAGGGUGAUCGGCCACACUGGGACUGAGACACGGCCCAGACUCCUACGGGAGGCAGCAGUAGGGAAUCUUCGGCAAUGGACGAAAGUCUGACCGAGCAACGCCGCGGGAGUGAAGAAGGGUUUCGGAUCGUAAAGCUCGGUUGUAAGAGAAGAACGGGUGUGAGAGUGGAAAGUUCACACUGUGACGGUAUCUUACCAGAAAGGGACGGCUAACUACGUG